rnacentral:rRNA from 1 species
CGGAUCUCAAAGCCUGUCCCAGUUCGGACUGGAGUCUGCAACCCGACUCCACGAAGUUGGAUUCGCUAGUAAUCGCGCAUCAGCCAUGGCGCGGUGAAUACGUUCCCGGGCCUUGUACACACCGCCCGUCAAGCCAUGGGAGCCGGGGGCGCCUGAAGUCCGGGACCGCGAGGACCGGCCUAGGGCGAAACUGGUAACUGGGGCUAAGUCGUAACAAGGUAGC